GACGAACGCUGGCGGCGUGCUUAACACAUGCAAGUCGAACGGAAAGGCCCUGCUUUUGUGGGGUGCUCGAGUGGCGAACGGGUGAGUAGCACGUGAGUAACCUGCCCUUGACUUUGGGAUAACUUCAGGAAACUGGGGCUAAUACCGGAUAGGAGCUCCUGCUGCAUGGUGGGGGUUGGAAAGUUUCGGCGGUUGGGGAUGGACUCGCGGCUUAUCAGCUUGUUGGUGGGGUAGUGGCUUACCAAGGCUUUGACGGGUAGCCGGCCUGAGAGGGUGACCGGCCACAUUGGGACUGAGAUACGGCCCAGACUCCUACGGGAGGCAGCAGUGGGGAAUAUUGCACAAUGGGCGGAAGCCUGAUGCAGCAACGCCGCGUGCGGGAUGACGGCCUUCGGGUUGUAAACCGCUUUCGCCUGUGACGAAGCGUGAGCGACGGUAAUGGGUAAAGAAGCACCGGCUAACUACGUG
rnacentral:rRNA from 1 species